CUGGCCUACAGCACCCACACAGUGCCUUCAUAUAGUAGGUGUUCAGUGAAUGUUUUCUGAGAUUGAGCAAAAGAGGAUAUGGACUUAUGUCUGAAGGACAGCUGCCAUGGAGGUAAACAUGUGCCCUGACAUGUCAGAGAAGACACAUGGGAACUCCUUUGAUUAGUUCCCAGUGACUAUGGCUGCCUCCAAGAUGAUAAGCAACUAAAGAUGAUUGGAGACUGAAGGGCUGCCCCUCUGCAGUGGUAAUAAAGGCAAACUGGUCA